UUUAGUGACGAUAGAGAAGUGGAAAUACCUGUUCCCGUCCCGAACACAGAAGUCAAGCACUUCAUCGCCGAAGGUAGUUGGCCUUGCGCCUGCGAGAAUAGGACGUUGCUAAUU
rfam:Erysipelotrichaceae bacterium NYT-BL-A4 NODE_35_length_19879_cov_195.549_ID_69, whole genome shotgun sequence.